UUUAAAUAUAUCUUUGUCCCAGUUAUAUUACAUAUAAGAGGAGUCACAUUGUAAAGUAAAUGCCUCUGAUGUUACCAUGUAAAUUGUCUGUAACGUUAGCUAGCCACUAUUGGUAAAACAUGCUAACGUUAAUUUUCUGCAAAUUGAAGUUGAGCUACGUUUUCCUAAUUUAAACGUAGUGUCAGCGAAAAGCAAAACGGCGAUUGUCAAUGCUUAUCAUUAUUUAACGCUAAUUAUUAGUGUGGAGAGCCACGAUGGCAUGUGCACCCACCCAAUGACUCAGAAUUAACACCUCCACCUGCAGUAUCCAGGCAUGAAGUUCAUCUUCUCUGGCAUCACCCAGAGAUGCAGGUGGAGGGCUGUUGCCAAUCCGGGGAAGAUCGACAAGGCUCGCAGGCAUUUGGACUUGACUGAACAGUGCUGCACAAGUGCUGUAAGCUUUAUAUUUUAAGCUAUAUUUUUAUAUUGUGGUUUGUAAUGUCAACCAUUUCUACUGUAAUUAACAAUGUGGCACUAGUGAUUCAACUACCUCUUUUUAUUAUGCAGACUUCACUUGUGACAGUGAAGUUUACCUUUACCUUGACCCACAGCAGUGAUUUGUGUGGAAUUUACACUGGAUUGUAAAAGGUAAACUACAUUAUUUAAUUCAUCAAUU